AGUGAACGCUGGCGGUAGGCCUAACACAUGCAAGUCGAACGGCAGCACAGUAAGAGCUUGCUCUUACGGGUGGCGAGUGGCGGACGGGUGAGGAAUACAUCGGAAUCUACUUUUUCGUGGGGGAUAACGUAGGGAAACUUACGCUAAUACCGCAUACGACCUACGGUUGAAAGCAGGGGAUCUUCGGACCUUGCGCGAUUGAAUGAGCCGAUUUCGGAUUAGCUAGUUGGCGGGGUAAAGGCCCACCAAGGCGACGAUCCGUAGCUGGUCUGAGAGGAUGGUCAGCCACACUGGAACUGAGACACGGUCCAGACUCCUACGGGAGGCAGCAGUGGGGAAUAUUGGACAAUGGGCGCAAGCCUGAUACAGCCAUACCGCGUGGGUGAAGAAGGCCUUCGGGUUGUAAAGCCCUUUUGUUGGGAAAGAAAAGCAGCAGGUUAAUACCCCGCUGUUCUGACGGUAACCAAAGAAUAAGCACCGGCUAACUUCGUG
rnacentral:rRNA from 1 species